CUUCAGGGCACAGACUCUAAGUACAGGAUAUUUAACAGCACUUCUUUUCUUGGUGGACUCUGGACUUCAGUUUUUGUUCUCCAUCCCUAUGUGCCUGUCAAAAGCUCUGCUUCUAAAUCUUUGGCUGGAUUUGCAGAAUUGUCCUAGUGGAAAAGUGGUCCCAAAUGCUUAUCUGACAUAUGGGUUUCCUUCUUCUCCUUUGGGAUCUGUGCUCUGUUAUUCUUUUUUCUGUCUUACUUUAAUACCUGUCUUAACUUUAUUUUUAAUUUUUUUUGUCUUUUUGCGUUUUUCUAGGGCCGCUCCUGCGGCAUAGAGGUUCCCAGGCUAGGGGUCUAAUCGGAGCUGUAGCCACCAGGUUAUGCCAGAGCCACAGCAAUGCGGGAUUUGAGCUGUGUCUACGACCUACACCACAGCUCACGGCAAUGCCGGAUCCUUAACCCACUGAGCAAGGCCAGGGAUCGAACCCGCAACCUCAUGGUUCCUAGUUGAAUUCGUUAACCACUGCACCACGAUGGGAACUCCCCUGUCUUUAUUUUAAUCAGGUGAUUUUAAUGUGUUUGAGCUUCUUUAAUUGUUUGCAUUGGGAAAGUUGGUCUCAAUUACUGACUGUGUUGGAUCAUGUAGAUGCAGUAAUAGUCCAGGUUUCCUGUCAUGGAUUGAUAAAGUUCUAGGGCAUUGUCAGUGAUGGACCUGGGAGUGAACGCUGGUGGUCAUUGAGGAAUUGUGAACUAGAGAAAUGAUAGAUAGUUGAUAUCAAAGUGUUUUCUAAAUUUUUAUAAAAGGGAAGAAGUUCAUGUAACUAUAAGCUUGUUAUUAGUGUAGGUCAAGUUUCUCAAAUGGCUUUUAAAACAUGUUCCUUGUUCACAUGAAAAAGGAAUAUUAUUGGCAUGUGUUCGUGAAAUACAAUAAAAUGUAAAUUAGAUGCCAACUAUUAAAUACUCAAAAAUGUUGGCAGUGAGCUAAGAACUUGAUAUUAUUUCAUUUAAGUCUUUAUAGGUACUAUAAGGUAGUCAUUUGUAGUAGAGGUUACCAGUGUUCACUUACACCUGUUUUUCCUCCCUUGACACACAGAAAUAUACCUUUGUACCCUCUUUGUACAUAAGAACAUAUAACUAAGUUUCAUCAAUGAAAUAUGAGCAUAUUGAUGUGUCAUAUCUAGAAUGAGGCCUUUAAGAGAUACUGUACCAUUUGUUGUUCUUCUUUACCACGCUGUGUCUACACUGAUUUCUUUUUGUCCAGCCUCUCCACCUGAAAACGUCCUUUCUGUUUUGAAUGCUCACAUCCUUUUCAUCAUAGGGAUAAAUGAUGAUCCCUUUGAGAAGAUGGAAUUUGAGUUAUGAUCUGAAUAUGAAGGAAAAGAAUUUGAAGUUUGGCCUUUUGAUUACAAAGAAUUUUCAUUCCCAUCAUUCGAUAGGGUAGAUUAACACAAAAUCUAACAGCUAUAUUUGCACAUGGAAAAUUUUCUUAUUAAAAUCAGGUAGCAAAAUUCUCUUGACAAAGUUUAGGUUUGUGAAACUAAACACAUUCUGUUUCUUGAGAAACAGAAUUAGGCUAAGCACACUCCUUAUGGCAGAAAUUGAAGCCCCCCCCCAUUCACAAUGGUAGAAGCUAACAUUUAAAAAAAAUUGAUAUGAGUAUGAAAUAAAACUUGUUAUUAUAGGAUAUACAUAUUGGGGAAUUGCUGUAGCAGUUGAGCAAAUGAACAUUAAAAAAAAUGAUUUAACUCUGCUGUACAGAAAAUUAAUCAAGCUAGGACAUUGGCUUAGGAGUUGGCUCAGAAAAAACCAUAUGCUUGGUGUCAGACUAAAACACUGGCAAGAAUAAAAACAACUACCCCAGCCAACAUCCCAAAUAAAAUGGUAACAGUCUUCAGCAUAUUUGUUUUUAAUUUUUAUACCAGUCUUUUCCCCCCUGAAUAUUCUUUCAUCAUUUUGAUAUUAAAAACAAACCCUUUAACCUGUAAAGAGUGUCGUUUGCUUUCAUAUUGUUCUAGAGCAAUAUUUUCUAAAUCUCAUCUUGUGAAUACUUGUGGAAGAAUCCAAGGGAGUAUAUAAAUGAGAGAAACAAAUGUUUUGAGGAGUAAUAUUGCUAUAUCAAUAUUAAAUGAUUGUGUCUGUUGGAUCCUUUGGGAAGAAGAUGCCGAGAUGGAGAUAGCCGUGCAAGAGAUAUAUUGGAGAACAUUGCCUGUGACAGAUUAAUGGAGGAGGAUAGUGCCAGGAAAGUCUCCUUACUGUGAUGAAGCUCUGACAAAGUCUUAGCCAACCCAAUGGGGAGCUCUGAAACAAAGAUGGAUUUGUGAGAAGUCCCCAUGUUAGAUAGAAAUGGCUGGGUCCUAGUACCCCAACCAUGCAAGUCAUUGCUAAGGGUGUGCCUGGGAAGACUGUAGUUUUGUCUAGAAAGCUAUACCUGUAGGCUCUAAUAGCUAAUUACCUUCACUGCAGGUGUGUUUUAAGCUUAACUCCUUGGCUGCCAUACUAAUCAUCGCUUUUUAAAAGAGAAUUAUCAUAGAUUUUUUAAGGUAAUUCUGAAUUUUUAAGGUAAACAUUUGAUCCAGCAAUCCCAUUCCUGGGCAUCUAUUCAGAGAAAACCAUGACUCAAAAAGAUACGUGUACCCCAAUUGCAGCACUAUAUACAAUAGCCAAGACAUGGAAACAACUCAAAUGUCCAUCGACAGAGGAGUGGAUAAAGAAGAGGUGGUACAUAUACACAAUGGAAUAUUACUCAGCCAUUAAAAGGAAUGAAAUAAUGGCAUUUUCAGCAACAUGGAUGGACCUAGAAAUUAUCAUGUUAAGUGAAGUCAGACAGUGAGACACCAACAUCAUAUGCUAUCACUUACAUGUGGAAUCUAAAAAAAGGACACAAUGAACUUCUUUGCAGAACAGAUACUGACUCACAGACUUUGAAAAACUUACGGUUUCCAAAUGAGACAGGUUGGGGGGUGGGGGGAUGUGCUUGCUGGGGGUUCAGGAUGGAAAUGCUAUAAAAUUGGGUUGUGAUGAUUGUUGUACAACUAUAAAUGUAAUAAAAUUCAUUGAGUAAUUAAAAGAUUUUCUAGGUAUAGUAUCAUGUCUUCUACUAAUAGUGAUAGUUUUACUUAUUCCUUUCCAGUUUGGAUUCCUUUUAUUUCUUUUUCUUCUCUUAUUGCUGUGGCUAGGACUUCCAGAGCUGUGUUGAAUAGUAGUGGUGAGCGUGGACAUCCUUGUUUAUUCCUGAUCUCAGCGGGAAUUCUUUCACCUUUUCACCAUUGAGAAUGAUGUUUGCUGUGGGUUUGUCAUAUAUGGCUUUUAUUAUGUUGAGGUAGGUUCCCUCUAUGCCCACUUUCUGAAGGGUUUUUAUCAGAAAUGGGUGUUGGAUUUUGUCAAAGGUUUUUUUCUGCAUCUAUUGAGAGGAUCAUAUGGUUUUUAUUCUUCAGUUUGUUAAUGUGGUAUAUCACACUGAUGGAUUUGUGGAUAUUGAAGAACCCUUGUAUCCCUGGGAUAAAUCCCACUUGCUCAUGAUACAGAAUCCUUUUAAUGUAUUGUUGGAUUCAGUUUGCUAGUAUUUUGUUGAGGAUUUUUACAUCUAUGUUCAUCAGUGAAAUUGGCUUGUAAUUUUCUUUUCUUUUCUUUUGCUUUUUAGGGAUGCACCCAUAGCACAGGGAGGUUCCCAGGCUAGGGGGUCCAAUUGGAGCUGCAGCUGCCGGCCUAAACCACAGCCACGGCAACAUCAGAUCCGAGCCACAUCUGCAACCUACACCACAGCUCAUGGCAAUGCUGGAUCCUUAACCCACUGAAUGAGGCCAGGGAUUGAAACCUAACCUCAUGGUUCCUAGUCAGAUUCGUUUCUGAUGCACCAUGGUGGAACUCCUUGGCCUGUAAUUUUCUUUUUUUAUGGUGUCUUUGUCUGGUUUUGGUAUCAGGGUGAUGAUGGUGACUUCAUGGGAUGAGUUUGGAAGUGUUCCUUCCUCUGCAAUUUAUUGGAAUAGUUUCAGAAGGAUAGAUGUUAGCUCUUCUUUAAAUGUUUGAUAAAAUCCGUCUGUCCUCUACCAUGCUCAUUCGUUCUUCUGUCUCCUGUAUUCUGCUGUUGGUUGCUUCUAAUAAAUUUUUUACUUCAGUUAUUGUAUUUUCCCAUCUCUGCUUGCUUAAAUUUUAAAUCUUGUAUUUCUUUGCUCAGUGUUUGCUGUAAAUUAUCAAUCUUUACCUUCAGUUUAUUUCCAAUGUCUUGCUGCAUCUUCAGCAUCAUCAAUCUAAAGUCUUUUUCCUGGAGCCUGAUAAUCUUCAGAUCACUUAGCUGUUUUUCUGGGGGUUUUUUCUUUCUUCCUUAUCUGAGUUAUAGCGCUCUGCCUUUUCAUUUUUAUAGGUUUUUGGUGUGGUCCCCUUUUUGCAGACAAUAGAGUUGUAGCCUCGCUUACUUCUGAUGUCUGCCCCCCUUGUGGCUGAAGUUGUUAAGGGGGCUUGCUGUAGGCUUCCUGAUGGGAGGGACUGAUGCCUGCCCACUGGUAGGUGGGGCUGAUUCCUAUCCCUCUGGUGGGUGGGACUUUGUCUCUGGGUGAGAUUAGAGGCAGCUGUGUGUCUGGGGGUUUUUUAGGCAGCCUGUUUACUGAUGGGUGGGGCUGUGAUCCCACCUAGAUUAUUGUUUGGCCUGUGGGUUCUCAGCACUGAUGAGUGGGGCCUGAUUUUCCCCAAAUGCCACCUCUAGAGGAACACAGGCUGAUGAAUAUUUCCAAGACUUUUGCCUCCAAUGUCCUUCCCCCACAACGAGCUACAGUCACCCCCUGUUUUCCUAGGAUAUCCUCCAAGAACUGCAGUGAGGUCCAACCCACAUUCCAGUGGAGCCUCUGCUUUGCCCUGGGACCCAGUGCACAUGAUAGCCUAUGUGCGCCUUUCAAGAAUGGAGUCUCUGUUUCCCCCAGUCCCGUGGAGCUCCUGCUUAUAAGCCCCACUGACUUCCAAUGUCAGAUGCUCCGGGGGCUCUUUCUCCCAAUACCAGAUCCCCAGGCAUGGUGACUUGACAUGUGGUUCAGAACUCCUUUUAGGUGAGUUUCUGUGAUACAGUUACUUUCCAGUCUGUGGGUUGCCCAGCCAGCGGGUAUGGGGUUGCUUAUAUCGCAUCAUCGCCCCUCCUACCAUUUUGAUGUGGCCUCCUCUUUAUCUUCUGGGGUAGGGUAUCUUUUUGAAAGUUUCCAGUCCAUUUGGUUGAAGGUUGUUCAGCAUUUGAUUGUAAUUCUGUUGUUUUUGUGAGAGAAGGUGAGCUCCAGUUCUCCUCCUAUUCUGCUAUCUUAAUCCCAUCUCUAAAGAUAAGGACAGGAGUUCCCAUUGUGGCUUAGUGGAAACAGAUCUGACUAGCAUCUGUGAAGAUGCAGGUUCGAUUUCUGGCCUUGCUCAGUGGGUUAAGGAUCUGGUGUUGCCAUGAGCUGUGGUGUAGGUCAAAGAUGUGGCUCAGAUUUAGAGUUGCUGUGGCUGUGGCUGUGGCUAUGGCUGCAGCUCCGAUUCAACUCCUAGCCUGGGAACCUCCAUAUGCCACAGGUGUAGCCCU
rnacentral:lncRNA from 1 species